UACGUAGGGUGCAAGCGUUGUCCGGAAUUAUUGGGCAUAAAGAGCUCGUAGGCGGUCUGUCGCGUCGGCUGUGAAAACUCGGGGCUCAACCCCGAGCCUGCAGUCGAUACGGGCAGACUAGAGUGCGGUAGGGGAGACUGGAAUUCCUGGUGUAGCGAUGAAAUGCGCAGAUAUCAGGAGGAACACCGGUGGCGAAGGCGGGUCUCUGGGCCGUAACUGACGCUGAGGAGCGAAAGCGUGGGGAGCAAACAGG
rnacentral:rRNA from 1 species